rnacentral:tRNA from 4 species
GUCCUCUUAGUUUAAUGGCAAAACAUUAUACUUCUAAUAUAUUCAUCUAGGUUCGAUUCCUGGAGAGGAUA